rnacentral:rRNA from 1 species
AGCCAUCAUUUAAAGAAAGCGUAAUAGCUCACUGGUCGAGUCGGCCUGCGCGGAAGAUUUAACGGGGCUAAGCUAUACACCGAAGCUGCGGCAAUGUGCUUUGCACAUUGGGUAGGGGAGCGUUCUGUAAGCCGUUGAAGGUGCAUUGUAAAGUGUGCUGGAGGUAUCAGAAGUGCGAAUGCUGACAUGAGUAACGACAAAGGGAGUGAAAACUCCCUCGCCGGAAGACCAAGGGUUCCUGUCCAACGUUAAUCGGGGCAGGGUGAGUCGACCCCUAAGGCGAGGCCGAAAGGCGUAGUCGAUGGGAAACGGGUUAAUAUUCCCGUACUUCUUACUAUUGCGAUGGGGGGACGGAGAAGGCUAGGUGAGCCUGGCGACGGUUGUCCAGGUCCAAGUACGUAGGUGGAUGAAUUAGGCAAAUCCGGUUCAUCAUUAACACUGAGAUACGAUGUCGAGCUACUACGGUAGCGAAGUCAUUGAUGCCAUGCUUCCGGGAAAAGCCUCUAAGCUUCAGAUAGUAAGAAAUCGUACCCCAAACCGACACAGGUGGUCGAGUAGAGAAUACCAAGGCGCUUGAGAGAACUCGGGUGAAGGAACUAGGCAAAAUGGUACCGUAACUUCGGGAGAAGGUACGCUCUUAAUGGUGAAGUCCCUCGCGGAUGGAGCUGUCGAGAGUCGCAGAUACCAGGUGGCUGCAACUGUUUAUUAAAAACACAGCACUGUGCAAAAUCGAAAGAUGACGUAUACGGUGUGACGCCUGCCCGGUGCCGGAAGGUUAAUUGAUGGGGUUAGACGUAAGUCGAAGCUCUUGAUCGAAGCCCCGGUAAACGGCGGCCGUAACUAUAACGGUCCUAAGGUAGCGAAAUUCCUUGUCGGGUAAGUUCCGACCUGCACGAAUGGCGUAAUGAUGGCCACGCUGUCUCCACCCGAGACUCAGUGAAAUUGAAAUCGCUGUGAAGAUGCAGCGUACCCGCGGCUAGACGGAAAGACCCCGUGAACCUUUACUACAGCUUGGCACUGAACAUUGACCCUACAUGUGUAGGAUAGGUGGGAGACUUUGAAACGCAGACGCCAGUUUGCGUGGAGUCGUCCUUGAAAUACCACCCUUGUAGUGUUGAUGUUCUAACUUGGCCCCAUUAUCUGGGGUGAGGACAGUGCCUGGUGGGUAGUUUGACUGGGCGGUCUCCUCCCAAAGAGUAACGGAGGAGCACGAAGGUGGGCUAAUCACGGUCGGACAUCGUGAGGUUAGUGCAAUGGCAUAAGCCCGCUUAACUGCGAGAAUGACGGUUCGAGCAGGUGCGAAAGCAGGUCAUAGUGAUCCGGUGGUUCUGUAUGGAAGGGCCAUCGCUCAACGGAUAAAAGGUACUCCGGGGAUAACAGGCUGAUACCGCCCAAGAGUUCAUAUCGACGGCGGUGUUUGGCACCUCGAUGUCGGCUCAUCACAUCCUGGGGCUGAAGUCGGUCCCAAGGGUAUGGCUGUUCGCCAUUUAAAGUGGUACGCGAGCUGGGUUUAGAACGUCGUGAGACAGUUCGGUCCCUAUCUGCCGUGGGCGUUGGAUGAUUGAGAGGGGCUGCUCCUAGUACGAGAGGACCGGAGUGGACGAACCUCUGGUGUUCGGGUUGUGUCGCCAGACGCAUUGCCCGGUAGCUAAGUUCGGAAUCGAUAACCGCUGAAAGCAUCUAAGCGGGAAGCGAGCCUCAAGAUGAGUCAUCCCUGAUACUUUAAGUAUCCUAAAGGGUUGUUGGAGACUACGACGUAGAUAGGCAGGGUGUGUAAGCGCUGUGAGGCGUUGAGCUAACCUGUACUAAUUGCCCGUGAGGCUUAACCAU